rnacentral:sRNA from 10 species
GCAAUGGCCGACUAGGGUUCCGGCUCGCUUGAAAAGCGAGUGGCUGGUCCGAGAGUUGGCGACCUCCAGUUGAGGUUACACGGCGGGAUAAAAGCCCGGGAGAC